GCCGAGGUAUCCAAGCGGCUACGGAGGCGGUCUCGAAAACCGCUGUGCUCUCGCACGCAGGAGUUCAAAUCUCCUCCUCGGCGCCA
rnacentral:tRNA from 1 species